GAUGAACGCUGGCGGCGUGCUUAACACAUGCAAGUCGAACGGAAAGGCUCCUGCUUGCAGGGGUACUCGAGUGGCGAACGGGUGAGUAACACGUGGGUGAUCUGCCCUGCACUUCGGGAUAAGCCUGGGAAACUGGGUCUAAUACCGGAUAGGACCACAUUUUGGAUGGUGUGGUGGAAAGUUUUUCGGUGUGGGAUGAGCUCGCGGCCUAUCAGCUUGUUGGUGGGGUAAUGGCCUACCAAGGCGUCGAAGGGUAGCCGGCCUGAGAGGGUGUACGGCCACAUUGGGACUGAGAUACGGCCCAGACUCCUACGGGAGGCAGCAGUGGGGAAUAUUGCACAAUGGGCGCAAGCCUGAUGCAGCGACGCCGCGUGGGGGAUGACGGCCUUCGGGUUGUAAACUCCUUUCGCUAGGGACGAAGCGCAAGUGACGGUAACUGGAGAAGAAGCACCGGCUAACUACGUG
rnacentral:rRNA from 1 species